GACGAACGCUGGCGGCGUGCUUAACACAUGCAAGUCGAACGGAAAGGCCCCUUUUGGGGUACUCGAGCGGCGAACGGGUGGGUAACACGUGCGUAACCUGCCCUUGACUUCGGGAUAACUUCCGGAAACUGGGGCUAAUACCGGCUAGGAAUCCUUGCUGCAUGCUGGGUGUGGGAAAGCUUUUGCGGGUUUGGGUGGACUCGCGGCUUAUCAGCUUGUUUGUGGGGUAGUGGCUUACCAAGGCUUUGGCGGGUAGCCGGCCUGAGAGGGCGACCGGCCACAUUGGGACUGAGGUACGGCCCAGGCGCCUACGGGGGGCAGCAGGGGGGAAUUAUGCACCAUGGGCGGGAGCCUGAUGCAGCAACGCCGCGGGCGGGAUGACGGGCUUCGGGUUGGAAAACGCCUUCAGCAGGGGCGAAGCUUGUGGUGACGGUACCUGCAGAAGAAGCACCGGCUAACUACGUG
rnacentral:rRNA from 1 species